rnacentral:rRNA from 1 species
UACAGAGGGUGCGAGCGUUAAUCGGAAUUACUGGGCGUAAAGCGUGCGUAGACGGUUACGUAAGUCGGGUGUGAAAGCCCCGGGCUCAACCUGGGAAUUGCAUUCGAGACUGCGCAGCUAGGGUGCGGAAGAGGGAAGCGGAAUUUCCGGUGUAGCGGUGAAAUGCGUAGAUAUCGGAAGGAACAUCAGUGGCGAAGGCGGCUCGCUGGGCCACACCUGACGCUGAGACGCGAAAGCUAGGGGAGCGAACAGG